rnacentral:rRNA from 1 species
ACACGAAGUCGGAAUCGCUAGUAAUCGCGGAUCGGCAUGCCGCGGUGAAUACAUUCCCGGGCCUUGUACACACCGCCCGUCACACCAUGGGAGUUUGUAACGCCCAAAGUCGGUGGCCUAACCUUUAUGGAGGGAGCCGCCUAAGGCGGGACAGAUGACUGGGGUGAAGUCGUAACAAGGUAAC